rnacentral:tRNA from 1 species
GCCCCUGUAGCUCAGAUGGAUAGAGCAGCGGUUUCCUAAACCGUUGGUCGGCUGUUCAAAUCAGCCCAGGGGCACCA